rnacentral:rRNA from 1 species
GAUGAACGCUGGCGGCGUGCCUAAUACAUGCAAGUCGAGCGAACGGACGAGAAGCUUGCUUCUCUGAUGUUAGCGGCGGACGGGUGAGUAACACGUGGAUAACCUACCUAUAAGACUGGGAUAACUUCGGGAAACCGGAGCUAAUACCGGAUGAUAUUUUGAACCGCAUGGUUCAAAAGUGAAAGACGGUCUUGCUGUCACUUAUAGAUGGAUCCGCGCUGCAUUAGCUAGUUGGUAAGGUAACGGCUUACCAAGGCAACGAUGCAUAGCCGACCUGAGAGGUUGACCGCCACACUUGAAAUUAGGCACGGGCCCGGCUCCCACCGGGAGCAACCGUUAGGAAACUUCCGGAAAUGGCGAAAGCCUGACGGAGCAACGCCGCGUGAGUGAUGAAGGUCUUCGGAUCGUAAAACUCUGUUAUUAGGGAAGAACAUAUGUGUAAGUAACUGUGCACAUCUUGACGGUACCUAAUCAGAAAGCCACGGCUAACUACGUG